CCCUGGUGACUCAGAGGUUAAAGCGUCUGCCUGCAAUGCAGGAGACCCGGGUUCGAUCCCUGGAUCAGGAA
rnacentral:tRNA from 1 species